GAUCAGAUGGCAAGAUUAUUUUGAAGGUUAGAUGGCAGGUGGCCUGGGUAAUUUUGUAGAUGGCUCUGCAGUUCUUGCUCAAAGAUUAUCUACAGCAAACUGUCCAAUGCAGUAUAUGU